CAGAAGAAGGGAAGGGAGAGGAAACAGGCAGAGGGAAGAGACUAUAAAGGCACUGAAGGCAAGAAGAACAUAUAGAAACUGAAAGCGAAGAGCAGAACGUGAGGAGUGCAGCUGUGAGAGAUGAAGUUAAAAGACAGAUGAAUCAGAAAAGCCUAGUAAUCCAUGAACAUGAAGAAUUUUACUAAAAUGAGGGGAAGAUGGGUGCAGAGGAAGGGGAAAGUCAGUGAUUGGGAACCUGUGUUACGACUAUUGGGAAAGAGUCUAAGUUGGUGAAGGGUCUGAGAUUACCACACUUUCAAGAUGACAAGUCGGCCUGCCACACAUUCAAGUAUGCUGGCAGAAGGCUCAAGAGUCCUGGAUCCUGGAUGAAUGAGCUAUGACGAUGUGGAUGGCUGGAUGUCAGGAGAAGAUGAUGUCAGUGUUUGGGGAUCCUCAAUAGUUGAAGGUUUUUGUUUUGUUUUGUUUUGUUUUUGCCAAAAACUUUUGGAAGAGCAUUGUAAUAGAAUGUUAUUGUCUCUUUCUUUUUAACUCAUUAAAGUGUUGCCACAGAUGUUGUAAAAAAAAA
rnacentral:lncRNA from 1 species